AUCCUUUCCUGCAGCUAGGACGUGAAACUGUGAAGAGGAUAAACGACAAGGAAACACGCUUAUGUAUCAAGACAAAAGCGCUUAAAGAAAAAGCUCCAAGCAUCAAUCACCAUGGUAUCACGUUUGGAAAUACCGGCAUCAUCGCGUUGGCAUCGGAGGAAAACCGCGUACAUCGCAAAUCGGCUUCCAAUCUUUAUCAUCCUCGGGUUCGAUACAGGUCGAAGCGAGAAAAAACAGAGAAAUUGAAAAGAAAAAAUUCUUAUCGAUACAUACCGGAGAGCAAUCGAGAUCCUUGAUUUCAUGUUUUCCAAUCAAUGCGGAUGGUAAUCGCUUCUUAAAUCGAUCCGUGUUGGGAUCGCCAUAACUCGUAAAAUCAAUACCAACUUCAAAGGUUGAAGGUUCACAUUGCAGAAGGAAGAAAGCUCGGGUUGGAGAAUGAAGAAGAAUCUAUUGGUGCAGAACCAAGAGGAAGCUCUUGGUGCAGAAUCCUGAAGAUGAAGCUUCUGCAGAAGAAAUUCUUGGUAUAGCGUGAAGAAGAAUGUAGAGUCUGGGAGUGAAAAAUGAAGUCCCCCAGGUUGAAGGAGAUGAUGGAUCAAAAUGCAGAAAAACGAAAAAAACUCCCUCCAACUUAUUAAGUUCAACUACAUGCAGGUCGUGGUAAUGGAUAGCUUGGUGUGAUGAAUGGAAAAUUUGGCAUGCUAUUUGAUUUGUCAUAAGUGUUGUACAUGUGUGAUUCAAGGUGUUGGUGGUUUAAUGCAAGUAUGGACUGCAGAGCAAGGCAUGGCUUUACAAUUUGCACUUUUUUUGCUUUAAUUUGGGAUGGCUUGCUGCUAAGUUGUCGAUUUUGUUGUCGUGUCCUACUGCUUAGGGUUGCGGUCUACGACAUGGCAGGUUGUUUAGAUAUCAUUGGUGGAAAGCACCGAGAGAAAGUCAUGCUGUAAUGUAGAAGAUUGAAGUGUAAAUCAAGUUGAAAUUGUAUUGAAUUAUUAUAUGAAUUGAAAGGUUCGUUUUAUGAAUAAAGAAACAUUAAGUGUUAA